AGAGUUUGAUCAUGGCUCAGGAUGAACGCUAGCGGCAGGCCUAAUACAUGCAAGUCGAGGGGUAGAGGAGAGCUUGCUUUCCUUGAGACCGGCGCACGGGUGCGUAACGCGUAUGCAACCUACCUUUAUCUGGGGGAUAGCCCGAAGAAAUUCGGAUUAAUACCGCAUAAGAUCACGGUACCGCAUGGUACAGAGAUUAA
rnacentral:rRNA from 1 species